CGUCUCCGUUAAUGAUUUUAGGUGCUUGCACUUGAAAGAUUUAACAUUGAGACGAGUGGCGAACUGGUGAGUAACACGUGGGUAACCUGCCCUUGAAGUAGGGGAUAACACUUGGAAACAGGUGCUAAUACCGUAUAACAACCAAAACCACCUGGUUUUGGUUUAAAAGACGGCUUCGGCUGUCACUUUAGGAUGGACCCGCGGCGCAUUAGCUUGUUGGUAAGGUAACGGCUUACCAAGGCGAUGAUACGUAGCCGACCUGAGAGGGUAAUCGGCCACAUUGGGACUGAGACACGGCCCAAACUCCUACGGGAGGCAGCAGUAGGGAAUCUUCCACAAUGGACGAAAGUCUGAUGGAGCAACGCCGCGUGAGUGAUGAAGGGUUUCGGCUCGUAAAACUCUGUUGUUGGAGAAGAACAGGUGUCAGAGUAACUGUUGACAUCUUGACGGUAUCCAACCAGAAAGCCACGGCUAACUACGUGCCAGCAGCCGCGGUAAUACGUAGGUGGCAAGCGUUGUCCGGAUUUAUUGGGCGUAAAGCGAGCGCAGGCGGUUUUUUAGGUCUGAUGUGAAAGCCUUCGGCUUAACCGGAGAAGUGCAUCGGAAACCGGGAGACUUGAGUGCAGAAGAGGACAGUGGAACUCCAUGUGUAGCGGUGAAAUGCGUAGAUAUAUGGAAGAACACCAGUGGCGAAGGCGGCUGUCUGGUCUGUAACUGACGCUGAGGCUCGAAAGCAUGGGUAGCGAACAGGAUUAGAUACCCUGGUAGUCCAUGCCGUAAACGAUGAGUGCUAAGUGUUGGAGGGUUUCCGCCCUUCAGUGCUGCAG
rnacentral:rRNA from 1 species